CGCUCACCUUCGGCCUUCUGGGGAGACUAGCUGCCGUAGAACCAGACCCUUCGACCGUGGAAGCGUUGCCAGGUUUCGGAACUCGGCCCCCAAAGCUGAAGUCCCUUCCUCCUUGGUGGAGCAGGGCUUGUGGAAAGACCAUGUGAGGAUACAGUGAGAAGAGGCCAUCUACAAGCCAAGGAGAGAGCUCUCACCAGAAACCAACCCUGCUGGCACCUUGAUCUUGGACUUUCAGCCUCCAGAACAGACUUCCCUGGUGGCGCAGUGGUCAAGAAUCUGCCUGCCAACGCAGGGGACACGGGUUCAAGCCCUGGUCUGGGAAGAUCCCACAUGCCGUGGAGCAACUAAGCCCAUGUGUCACAACUACCGAGCCCGCGAGCCACAACUACUGAGCCCACGUGCCACAACUGCUGAAGCCUGCACGCCUAGAGCUGGUGCUCCGCAACAAGAGAAGCCACCGCAAUGAGAAGCCUGUGCACCGCCACAAAGAAUAGCCCCUGCUCGCCACAACUAGAGA